rnacentral:rRNA from 1 species
CCCUUAGCUGUUCUGGGCUGCACGCGCGCUACACUGACGCACGCAACAGGUGCCUGCUCCGAGAGGACUGGGUAAUCAUUUGAGUGUGCGUCGUGAUGGGGAUAGAAUAUUGUAAUUAUUACUCUUCAACGAGGAAUUCCUAGUAAGCGCCAGUCAGCAGCUUGCGCUGAUUACGUCCCUGCCCUUUGUACACACCGCCCGUCGCUCCUACCGAUGGGUGAUCCGGUGAAUGAUUCGGACUUCAGCGGCUCCCCUGGGGUGCGCCGGAGAAAGUUUUGUGAACCUUAUCACUUGGAGGAAGGAGAAGUCGUAACA